rnacentral:rRNA from 1 species
UACAGAGGGUGCGAGCGUUAAUCGGAAUUACUGGGCGUAAAGCGUGCGUAGACGGUCAUGUAAGUCGGAUGUGAAAGCCCCGGGCUCAACCUGGGAAUUGCAUUUGUGACUGCACGGCUAGAGUGUGUCAGAGGGGGGUAGAAUUCCACGUGUAGCAGUGAAAUGCGUAGAUAUGUGGAGGAAUACCGAUGGCGAAGGCAGCCCCCUGGGAUAACACUGACGCUCAUGCACGAAAGCGUGGGGAGCAAACAGG